UACGAAGGGGGCUAGCGUUGCUCGGAAUCACUGGGCGUAAAGGGCGCGUAGGCGGCCUGUUAAGUCGAACGUGAAAUCCCCGGGCUCAACCCGGGAACUGCGUCCGAUACUGGCAGGCUUGAAUCCGGGAGAGGGAUGUGGAAUUCCAGGUGUAGCGGUGAAAUGCGUAGAUAUCUGGAGGAACACCGGUGGCGAAGGCGGCAUCCUGGACCGGUUAUUGACGCUGAGGAGCGAAAGCCAGGGGAGCAAACGGG
rnacentral:rRNA from 1 species